GCGAGUGGCCCCACAGUGAGUGUUGCCAUGGCAACCCUCCCUGUUAUUCGUGGUCCACCAGCCACCUCUCCUCUUCAGUCCAGCGCUCUCUCUCUUGUCCUCCAUUUCUUUCAUUUUCCCAGGCUGUGUUUGCCAAAAGAAGCCCAGCUCAGAGUCCUGCACAGAGGAAAACAAUAGUGCAGCUACACGCCACAGCUGCAACAAAAUCCUCCAAUCCCACUGCCGGAGCACGUCCUCCCAUCAUGCCAGAAGUCAUCCAUCUGACUUCCAUGCAGCCACAGUUGUCCACAGCAACUCCUCUGCUGCCCAGCAUCACUGCUGACCCCCUGACCACCACCACACUUUUCCCUCAAGAGAAAUUGCACAUAGAAGUGCACACCAUCCUGAUUGUUGCCAUUUUUUGUGUGGUCUGCUUCCUGCUCCUGCUGGCUUUUUUCUACGCCUUCUGCUUCCAUUGCUCCAUCAACUCAUCACUCAAAGAUUCCCGAAGAGCCAACGGAUGCAGCCUAGAUCGUGAGGACGCCACCUAUAAGUGCAGUUCAUCUGAUGACCUGUCUGUAGGGAACGUUGUCUGACUGUGAUGCUGGACCACCAUCAGAUUAACUGAUAUCUUGUUAUGCUUUUACUCCCAUAUUUAUUUGAUCUUUAUUUUUACCUGCAGCAACAGGUAAACCAAGCAAUCACAUACAUGACUGUUAUGAUGAAUUUUUACGCUCAAACGCAAUGAGACAGAAAACUGUGUUCAAUAAAAGCAUGUACAUUAAAUGAAAA